rnacentral:rRNA from 1 species
GGGGGACAUUACCGAGUUUACACUCCCAAACCCCUGUGAACAUACCACUUGUUGCCUCGGCGGAUCAGCCCGCUCCCGGUAAAACGGGACGGCCCGCCAGAGGACCCCUAAACUCUGUUUCUAUAUGUAACUUCUGAGUAAAACCAUAAAUAAAUCAAAACUUUCAACAACGGAUCUCUUGGUUCUGGCAUCGAUGAAGAACGCAGCAAAAUGCGAUAAGUAAUGUGAAUUGCAGAAUUCAGUGAAUCAUCGAAUCUUUGAACGCACAUUGCGCCCGCCAGUAUUCUGGCGGGCAUGCCUGUUCGAGCGUCAUUUCAACCCUCAAGCACAGCUUGGUGUUGGGACUCGCGUUAAUUCGCGUUCCUCAAAUUGAUUGGCGGUCACGUCGAGCUUCCAUAGCGUAGUAGUAAAACCCUCGUUACUGGUAAUCGUCGCGGCCACGCCGUUAAACCCCAACUUCUGAAUGUUGACCUCGGAUCAGGUAGGAAUACCCGCUGAACUUAAGCAUAUCAUUAAAGCGGAAGAA